GUACACUCCUACGGGAGGCAGCAGUGGGGAAUUUUGGACAAUGGGCGAAAGCCUGAUCCAGCAAUGCCGCGUGAGUGAAGAAGGCCUUCGGGUUGUAAAGCUCUUUUGUCAGGGAAGAAACGGUGAAAGCUACUAUCUUUUGCUAAUGAAGGUACCUGAAGAAUAAGCACCGGCUAACUACGUGCCAGCAGCCGCGGUAAUACGUAGGGUGCAAGCGUUAAUCGGAAUUACUGGGCGUAAAGCGUGCGCAGGCGGUUUUGUAAGUCUGAUGUGAAAUCCCCGGGCUCAACCUGGGAAUUGCAUUGGAGACUGCAAGGCUAGAAUCUGGCAGAGGGGGGUAGAAUUCCACGUGUAGCAGUGAAAUGCGUAGAUAUGUGGAGGAACACCGAUGGCGAAGGCAGCCCCCUGGGUCAAGAUUGACGCUCAUGCACGAAAGCGUGGGGAGCAAACAGGAUUAGAAACCCUUGUAGUCCC
rnacentral:rRNA from 1 species